ACACAUAUGCGAAGCUCAUGUGUUCGGAAGAAUAAAUUGCUUUGUUUGCGAUUUAAUAAUAAGGCAACGAGCAGUAAAAUGCAACGGUAUUCAAUAAAUAUUUACGUAGUACAAUUUGCAUCAUUUGAUGAAUAAGUUUUCAUUAUGACUGACUGACUGACUGACUGACUCGUGUGAAUUUUCGCCACUUACAAUAAUACUGCAAAGUUCCUAUGAAAACAUUACACUAAAAGUAAGGCGCUAUGAUGUAUUUAUGAUGUAUUCUUAAAUACGCGACACUCUAUCAGUAUUGAUUUGCAGUUGAUCGCUGGAAGUGAUAAAUUAAAA